UACAGAGGGUGCGAGCGUUAAUCGGAAUUACUGGGCGUAAAGCGCACGUAGUCGGCUUUGCAAGUCGGGUGUGAAAUCCCCGGGCUCAACCUGGGAACUGCAUUUGUGACUGUAGAGCUGGAGUGCGGCAGAGGGGGAUGGAAUUCCGCGUGUAGCAGUGAAAUGCGUAGAUAUGCGGAGGAACACCGAUGGCGAAGGCAAUCCCCUGGGCCUGCACUGACGCUCAUGCACGAAAGCGUGGGGAGCAAACAGG
rnacentral:rRNA from 1 species